CUCCGUAGGUGAACCUGCGGAGGGAUCAUUACCGAGUUUACAACUCCCAAACCCAAUGUGAACGUUACCAAACUGUUGCCUCGGCGGGAUCUCUGCCCCGGGUGCGUCGCAGCCCCGGACCAAGGCGCCCGCCGGAGGACCAACCAAAACUCUUAUUGUAUACCCCCUCGCGGGUUUUUUUAUAAUCUGAGCCUUCUCGGCGCCUCUCGUAGGCGUUUCGAAAAUGAAUCAAAACUUUCAACAACGGAUCUCUUGGUUCUGGCAUCGAUGAAGAACGCAGCGAAAUGCGAUAAGUAAUGUGAAUUGCAGAAUUCAGUGAAUCAUCGAAUCUUUGAACGCACAUUGCGCCCGCCAGUAUUCUGGCGGGCAUGCCUGUCCGAGCGUCAUUUCAACCCUCGAACCCCUCCGGGGGGUCGGCGUUGGGGAUCGGCCCUGCCUUGGCGGUGGCCGUCUCCGAAAUACAGUGGCGGUCUCGCCGCAGCCUCUCCUGCGCAGUAGUUUGCACACUCGCAUCGGGAGCGCGGCGCGUCCACAGCCGUUAAACACCCAACUUCUGAAAUGUUGACCUCGGAUCAGGUAGGAAUACCCGCUGAACUUAA
rnacentral:rRNA from 1 species